rnacentral:rRNA from 1 species
UGGCUCUGAGGGCUGGGCUCGGGGGUCCCGGCCCCGAACCCGUCGGCUGCCGGCGGACUGCUCGAGCUGCUC